rnacentral:tRNA from 1 species
CGCAUAGUGUAGUGGAUUAGCGUGUCUGACUUCGAAUUAGAAGGUCGUGGGUUUGAGUCCCACUGUG